AAACAAUUGAAGAGAUUGAACCAGGUCAUAUUUCUAGUAAGCUCUAAUGACAGGAUGUGCUAGAGCUUUACCAGCCAAUCAAAAUUGCCUAUUUCAAUGAUAUUGUUAUAGGUGCAGUGUGCUGCAGAGUGGAUCAUUCACAGGAUCAGAAGAGACGAGAUCAGAAGAGAAGAGAUGUCUUGCACAUUACCGAAAGCUAGGAAUAGGAACUAAAAUGUUAAAUAAUGCCUUAAAGAUCUGUGGAAAAGAUGGCACUUAUUUUGGCGGGGGGAGUACUGGGCAUUGAACUCAGGCACUGGACCACUGAGCCACAUCCCCAGCCCUAUUUCGUAUUUUAUAUAGAGACAGGGUCUCACUGAGUUGCUUACCUCCCUCCUUACUUUUGCUGAGGUUGAACUUGUGAUCCUCCUAUUCCAGCCUCCCAAGCCAUUGGGAUUACAGGCAUGCACCACUGCACCAGGCAUGAUGGCACUUUUGACAACAUCUGUUUACAUGUUUGGAUCAGCAAUGAGCCAGUAAUUGAUUUCUACAGGAAGUUUGGCUUUGAGACUAUUGAGAUGAAGAAGAACUACUGUAAGAGGAUAGAAACUGCAGAUCAUNUGUAAGUUCCUUAAAUAAUCCAAAUAUAGGCCUAGAAG
rnacentral:lncRNA from 1 species